GAUAACGGUGCUCGAAAAAGCUGUGAAGAGCAAUGUUUCAUCACUUUUUUGCAUCACAUUUACAUUGUGGCUCUAUCGGUAAAAUUCUGGGCAAAGGUUGAUUCAUGGAGAUUUACUAGAGUAGGGAUUCUUUAAUUCGUGUCUUUCUUUUUCUCGUGUAUUUUUUUAUUUCAUCUACUUUUCUCAUUAGCAAGGUUAUAGAUUUGUGUUAAACCCGAAUUCUUGCGUUCAUUUCUGUUCAAAACCGGUGUCAAUGCUGGACAAUAAUUGAUAUCAACAUGUGUUGUCAAUUUUUUUGUGAAUAACAAGGAAGGUCUUGUAUA